GGAGAGGUGGAUGAGUGGUUUAAGUCGCACGCCUGGAAAGCGUGUUUGGGAUAAUAUCCCAACGCGUGUUCUAAUCCCGCCCUCUCCGCCA
rnacentral:tRNA from 1 species